UACACUCCUACGGGAGGCAGCAGUGGGGAAUUUUGGACAAUGGGCGAAAGCCUGAUCCAGCAAUGCCGCGUGAGUGAAGAAGGCCUUCGGGUUGUAAAGCUCUUUUGUCAGGGAAGAAACGGUGAGAGCUAAUAUCUUUUGCUAAUGACGGUACCUGAAGAAUAAGCACCGGCUAACUACGUGCCAGCAGCCGCGGUAAUACGUAGGGUGCAAGCGUUAAUCGGAAUUACUGGGCGUAAAGCGUGCGCAGGCGGUUUUGUAAGUCUGAUGUGAAAUCCCCGGGCUCAACCUGGGAAUUGCAUUGGAGACUGCAAGGCUAGAAUCUGGCAGAGGGGGGUAGAAUUCCACGUGUAGCAGUGAAAUGCGUAGAUAUGUGGAGGAACACCGAUGGCGAAGGCAGCCCCCUGGGUCAAGAUUGACGCUCAUGCACGAAAGCGUGGGGAGCAAACAGGAUUAGAUACCCCGGUAGUCCCA
rnacentral:rRNA from 1 species